CCUACGGGUGGCAGCAGUGAGGAAUAUUGGUCAAUGGCCGGAAGGCUGAACCAGCCAUGCCGCGUGAAGGUCAGUGCCCUAUGGGCGUUAAACUUCUUUUGUGCGGGAGCAAUAAUGGUCACGUGUGGCCAGACGAGAGUACCGUACGAAUAAGCAUCGGCUAACUCCCGGCCAGCAGCCGCGGUAAUACGGGGGAUGCAAGCGUUAUCCGGAUUUAUUGGGUUUAAAGGGUGCGUAGGCUGUGAGGUAAGUCAGCGGUGAAAUGCCCCCGCUCAACGGGGUGAAGUGCCAUUGAUACUGCCUGGCUGGAAUGCGGAUGCCGUGGGAGGAAUGUGUGGUGUAGCGGUGAAAUGCAUAGAUAUCACACAGAACACCGAUUGCGAAGGCAUCUCACGAAUCCGCGAUUGACGCUGAUGCACGAAAGCGUGGGUAUCAAACAGGAUUAGAUACCCUUGUAGUC
rnacentral:rRNA from 1 species